rnacentral:pre_miRNA from 1 species
UACAUACUCCAUUCGCCCGGAAAUACUUGUCAUCAAAAUGGAUAAAAGGAGAUGUAUCUAGAUGUAUUUUAGUUCUAGAUACAUCCCUUUUGUCCAUUUUGAUGACAAGUAUUUUCGGACGGAGGGAGUAUAUG